rnacentral:rRNA from 1 species
UACAGAGGUGCAAGCGUUGUUCGGAAUUAUUGGGCGUAAAGGGCGCGUAGGCGGUGCGGUAAGUCUGUAGUGAAAUCUCUGGGCUCAACUCAGAGUCUGCCUGUAAGUAAUGCGUGCUAGAGUGUGGGAGAGGUGAGUGGAAUUCCGGUGUAGCGGUGAAAUGCGUAGAUAUCGGGAGGAACACCUGUGGCGAAAGCGGCUCACUGGACCACAACUGACGCUGAGGCGGACGAAAAGCUAGGGGAGCAAACAGG